ACGCUCGACACCUACGGGGCAGCAGUGAGGAAUAUUGGUCAAUGGGCGCUAGCCUGAACCAGCCAAGUAGCGUGAAGGAUGAAGGCUCUAUGGGUCGUAAACUUCUUUUAUAUAAGAAUAAAGUGCAGUAUGUAUACUGUUUUGUAUGUAUUAUAUGAAUAAGGAUCGGCUAACUCCGUGCCUGCAGCCGCGGUAAUCUGAGGCGGGCGUGGACGAAGGC
rnacentral:rRNA from 1 species